rnacentral:rRNA from 1 species
GACGAACGCUGGCGGCGUGCUUAACACAUGCAAGUCGAACGGAAAGGCCCGGCUUUUGUGGGGUGCUCGAGGGGCGAACGGGUGAGUAGCACGUGAGUAACCUGCACUUGACUGUGGGAGAACUUCAGGAAACUGGGGCUAAUACCGGAUAGGAGCUCCUGCUGCAGGGUGGGGGUGGGAAAGUUUCGGCGGUUGGGGAUGUAGCCGCGGUUGAUUAGCUAGUUGGUAGGGUAGUGGCUGACCAAGGCGUCGAUGGGUAGCCGGCCGGAGAGGGGGACCAGCCACACUGGGACGGAGACACGGCCCAGACUCCUACGGGAAGCAGGAGGGGGGAAUAUAGGACGAUGGGCGAAAGCCUGAUCCAGCAAUGCCGCGUGAGUGAUGAAGGCCUUAGGGUUGUAAAGCUCUUUUACCCGGGAUGAUAAUGACAGUACCGGGAGAAUAAGCGCCGGCUAACUCCGUG